rnacentral:lncRNA from 1 species
GUAAGGAGUACAGAGAAUAUCUUGUACUUGUAAUUUCGAUUUUCCAAAGAAGACAUGUACAUCAAGACAAACAUUUGUCAAACGUCUUCUUUCUUUGUAUGUUUGCAAUUCUGCCAAAAGAGAACAAUACACAUUGCAAUUUGCUUGACUUAAUGAGACUGCUGUCUAAAAUUCCCACCAUAUUUUAGAAACUAUAAUACUAAUGCAGAUAUACAUUUGGGGCAGGACAAUAUUUAAGAAAUUAUAGAAAAAAUAUAAUUAUUAGUUGUGGAAUUCAGCUUGAUUUGUAUUGAAAGUUCCUGUGUGUUGCUAGAAUAUUUUAUACCUGUAAAUAAAUAAGCAUGAUAAAAUAAUCAAGGCUUUUUUUCCCAGGAUAUGGAAAAACUAUGUAUCACAAAUAAUGUUUUUGAUUUGGACUUUUGGAGUUUAUAGUUUUGUUUUCCUGGAAUAUAGACUUUUGAAUUAUACUUUGUAAAAAAUAAUCUAUUUAAGAAAAUCUGUCAUUUAAUAGACAUUUUAAGAGAUGUUUUAAACACUAGUAUUUUCUUGAAAAAUCUUUUUUAAAGCUGAAACAUUCAAAAGAAAACCUGGACUAAACCUUUCAAUUUUAAAAGGAGGGGUAUUUUUUGGAAAUAUCAUCUUAAAGCAGUUUUGUAUCAGUAUUUUCAGCAUUGUUAUAAUAUUAUUUGUAAUACUCAGUGUAACUCAGGCCUGGAGAAGGUGUAAGCCCACUGUGUUAAUGUAGAUCAGUAACUGUAAGACAGGGGUCUUUUCUAAGUUCCUCUUGUGUAGAUAAUAUUCUGUCAUAAUAAUGGCAUGUGGGCAUUCUUUCAGCAAACUGAAAUCUUUGUACUAAAAUCUCUAGUUUUCUAAGACAGUUCCAUGUAUAAAAAUGAUUUAUACAUCUCUCCAAGGCAGUACAUAUCCAAAGACAUGACACCAGGGGAAAAAGUGCUUGUUUUUCUGAUGAAGCAGUGGUCUUGCCUUUUCCUUCUUCUUUCUUUUGUGCAUGUAUAUGUGUAGAUAACCCUAAGUAACCCUGUAAAAUUUCUGCUGCAAACUGUCUCUUCGAAACCCAGAAUGUGUUUUAAAGGACAAUUAUGAAGAGACCUCCCUUGAAGGAAAGCUGUUUCUACCUGAAAUAAACUAUAC